ACAUGGCGGGUCCUCACACAAUUCCCCGAUAUUUAUUGGAGACUUCGCACGUACCAUGCCAAUUAUUUCGGGCUGCUUAAGCGCCUUUUUUGAAGUCCUUGGGCAGUGCAAGAUGAAAAGAGGAAGUGAAGUAAUACUUGGCCUAUUCCCCGAUAUUCAUUAAAGACUUCGCAUGUAUCCUUCCUAUUAUUUCGAGUCGUUUAGAGUUGGACAUGAAACUCCUAAUUCAAAUCAAAAUGUACAAUGAUUUCAUGGCUUACGUGUUUGUCCAAUGAACGGGUAAACAGCUAUAUACAAAAGCAAGUCGCCAAUCCAGCACGUCAGACGUGUAGAAAUUGAAGCUUCCCUAAAAGUUUCUGUUGCACCAACUCAUGAGGCAUGGGAAGAACAUGCUAUGGAUUUUCUUAGAAAAAGAAGAGGCUGCUUCUUUUGUUGACCAGUCUGUACUUUAGUUCAAUUGUAAUCUUUAAUUAUUAAUUUCGUUUCUAUUAAUGUAAUGUUCCCAAAGGAAAUACUCACGAGGAAAUAGCUUCUUUUGGUGAAUUAGAUUAAGUUCUUGGUGCCUGGUGUGUUAGAGAACGCCAACAUGCAUCUCCUUUUAGUUCUCUGUUGUUGUAGUCCAUUCCAGCAACUAUUGUUAUGCAGCUAUGUGGAGUAUUCGUGUGUUCUAUGAACAUUAUUGACAGGAGAUUUUUGGUGCUUGCCUAAUUUGAAUCUAUAACUUUUUGAAAGCUACAUAUGCAGAGCGGGAGGUGACCUUUUGAAAAGAGAAGACAGGCAAGUGCAUGCUCAACAUUGUUAAGGUCUGUAGCGGUUCUGCCCUUUCGACAGAGAUUGUGAUUGCACUGUUGGGAUCAGUAACUAAUGCGCCGAGAGCUCCUCUUCUUCUGCUCGCUCUUUGGAGAUCAGACGCACUGAAACCUAGCUCAAAAAAUUCUAGUGUAGAUAAACAAUUUCAGGAUAAACGUCAACUCGCUCAUCCCUUUGGAAGCAUCUGGAGCAGGGACUGGUGUCUUCAUUUGGGUGAUUCAUCAAGAUCUUGAGGCACGUAGCAAAUACUUAGGUGAUCCUGGUAUCCUCCUACACAAAACUUUAAUAAGCCACGAACAAAUUCCAUCUCCUCGACAACUUGGUGAUGGAGGUUAUGAAACUGUUUACUAUGCUUUGCAUGGUGUUGAGGGGGAUCUACGAGGUUUCUGCAAUGAUGUCUUGAAGGCUUUCAAUAGCACUUGCACACAAGUCUCAUGUGACAUUAUUAUCUCCAUCAACUGAACAAAGUCUGCUACCUCCGAAUCUUUGUUCAAAGGUUAGGCCGCCUUAAGGGUGACUGGAUUUCCCAUUGGAGUGAGAACCAAUAAGGCAGGAGUCGGCGUAUUGCAUUUGAGUAUAGAUAAGAAGGGUCUUAGAAGGAAAGAUGAACAAUCAGUUUAAGUUCAUACUUUGUUGUCUUCACAUUAUUUCAUCUUAGCUUUCUGGCCUUACAAAGAGUAUCUUUUGUUUUAUGAAACUUAUCAGAUUUGCUCUUCAUCGUAUCAACAUUGUUUUAAAAGAGUAUAAUGUUGAAACUAAACAAGUAUAAGCUAUAUUUCCAGGUUUGAUUUAUAAGUAUUGCAAUGGUUUCUUUCUUAUCAGGGAGUAUUAGCACAUCUGAAACUUGAAAUUGGAGGUGGAUUUGAAAGAGUAAAGCACCUUCAACAACUAUUAGAGUGGAUUGCAGUUACUAACUCAAGCAAGCCUUAGCAUGGUGGUGAACCAUGCUGAAAGUUUAUGCUUAAGAUGCUACAUGUAGGCUGAAAGUUUAUGCUUAAGAUGCUACAUGUAGGCAGCAAGCUGAAGAAGUCAUUGUGAAAUAAUUGAAUUUGUGUUAGCUA